rnacentral:rRNA from 1 species
AUCCCAUUCGGAUUGCAGUCUGCAACUCGACUGCAUGAAGCUGGAAUCGCUAGUAAUCGCGGAUCAGAAUGCCGCGGUGAAUACGUUCCCGGGUCUUGUACACACCGCCCGUCACACUAUGGGAGUCGGAUAUGCCCGAAGUCAGUGACCCAACCGCAAGGAGGGAGCUGCCGAAGGUGGAGCCGAUGACUGGGGUGAAGUCGUAACAAGGUAGC